GAGAGGGAGCCUGAGAAACGGCUACCACAUCUAAGGAAGGCAGCAGGCGCGUAAAUUACCCACUCCCAGUUCGGGGAGGUAGUGACGAAAAAUAACAAUACAGGACUCAUAUCCGAGGCCCUGUAAUUGGAAUGAGUACACUUUAAAUCCUUUAACAAGGACCUAUUGGAGGGCAAGUCUGGUGCCAGCAGCCGCGGUAAUUCCAGCUCCAAUAGCGUAUAUUAAAGUUGUUGCGGUUAAAACGUUCGUAGUUGAAUUUGUGCUUCAUACGGGUAGUACAACUAUAAUUGUGGAUUGUACAUUACCUUAUGUAUGCAAGCGUAUUACCGGUGGAGUUCUAAUACAUAAUGGUAUGUGUACCAUUAUGUAUACCUCCUAUUUAAACCUGCUUCAGUGCUCUUCAUCGAGUGUUGUUGUGGGCCGGUACAAUUACUUUGAACAAAUUAGAGUGCUUAAAGCAGGCUCCAAAUGCCUGAAUAUUUUGUGCAUGGAAUAAUGAAAAAAGACCUCUGUUCUACUUUCAUUGGUUUUUAGAUCAAGAGGUAAUGAUUAAUAGAAGCAGUUUGGGGGCAUUAGUAUUACGACGCGAGAGGUGAAAUUCUUGGACCGUCGUAAGACUAACUUAAGCGAAAGCAUUUGCCAAAGAUGUUUUCAUUAAUCAAGAACGAAAGUUAGAGGUC
rnacentral:rRNA from 1 species